ensembl:lncRNA
AAAAUAAGCAAGCAGUUAAAAGCUUUAAAUGUUCAGCUCUGGCUUUCCCCCACACAAUGGCAAAGUGGUCAGUGGAGUUGGAAAGAAGCAAACCUAAGCCUUUUAGCAGUGCUCUCACUCACCUACCAACCUCUUCUCCAUUUUUACUGCAGCCUCUUCGGCAGCACAGAGCUCUUCACUCGACUGUUAAUACACUGAAGGUCACCAUUUCCUAACUUGCCCUGUUGGCUUCUUCAUGGGAUUUACAAGCUUGCUCCUUCUCCUGGUGAUCUGAUUUCCAUGUGUAUGAGAUGAGGUGAGAGUUUGGCCACUUCAAAGCCUCGGAAAUGGACCCCCAGCACCGGGAUGCUGAAAGAAGGCAGAGGAAUCAGCAUGAGAAUGUUAUCCUGACACCUUGGCAAGCAUGGGAGCCCUCGAAAAAAUGUUUAUUCAGAGCUGAGGGAUGGCCUAGCUGGGGAGCAUUUUAUUUUUCACUCCUAGGAGUGUGAAAGGAGGACACACAAAGAAAUUUAUGACUUUCAAUUCCCCUUCUGAGACCCAAAAGAUGCUACAAAGUUGUGGAAAAACAAAAGGGCUUUGCUGCUCAUGGUGAGCUUAAACCUGCAGCUUCUUCUGACUGUAUUCAGGCCACGGGACUGCAGCCCAUUCCUGUGCACCAAGCAAUGCUUUCACUUUGGAAAGAUGAUAAAUUGCUGUGCCCUGGUGGAGAUUAAAAGCAGGUAAACAAACAGCAUGGCCUUGACCUAUUGCUCAUACAUUUCACACAGGCUGCGUUUUUAGCCAUAUAAUCACUUACAAUUGGAUGGAGGAUUCUCUGUGUGUUUACCAAAGAAGUCUACCGAGAGGCAUCUGUUUCGUUUAGUCUAGAAUGAAAAAAAAUUAAAAGUCAAAAUUGAGUACUCACCCUGGGGCAAUGCUAAAAUUAAGCUACAUACUGAAGUUCAGGCUGCUAUUCCAUUAAAUACAUUUUAAUGCCUUCUUGUUAAACCUGCUAACCUCUCCUGCACCAGGCAUGCCCAGAUCUCACAAGCCUCCUUGACAAUACUAUGAAGCAACUGAUGCUACCCAAGAAUAAAAUGCAGGAAAAUUCAAUCCCGAGACUAAAAUGAGCUUGUAUUUUGUGCUGUCAUAAUAAGUAAACUCUAAUUAAAUGUACUAAGCAAAGCUCUGGCUCGCAGAAGCUCUGCACAGACUGCAAAAGCUCGGAAGGGCAGGAGAUGCUUUAUUUGACAGCUUCUGCUAAAGAAAAUAAAAAUAAAUACUUACAUGGAACAUUCACAUAACCCCUUGCUCAUUUCAGAGUCUGUGGUUUGCAGAUCACUGCAGAAGAACUACAAUUGCAGGACUUGGCUAAGUGAAUUCCCACAUAUCUGUCUCAAAGUCUUGUUGUUCUUUGAAGAUGAAGGAGGUUUCAAGGAUUAAGAUCACACUUAAAAUCUUUAUGAGGCAGUGUGAUAAGGUACUUUGUGUCUGUGCGGAGAUGGAAAACCAAAGAUUUAUAAUUUCUUCUAUUUUUUCUUAUGCUACUAACAAAAGAAAGCUAGCAGAGCAAAGCUUUGGGCUGCAGAGCAGAGACAUCCACUAUGUGAGAGAUGGCACUUCUCAGGCUGUGGGCACCUCAGCUGUGCUCCACACUGCACCAUUUGGCCCUCUUGUAGAGAUGUGGCCAGGCUGUGUGCCCUGCGCUCCUUGCUCCCAGGAGCAAACAGCCACCAGCCUAUGGUGAAGAGCUGGGCAGGCAUGGGCAGAGGUGGCCACAGCCUGACGCUACCAGGAGGCUGCACAGCUUUGCAGGACGUGGGGCAUGCACUGUGCCAUCUGGCUCACAGCUGGGGUUGGGUAAAAAUCUCUGUCUUCACUCUCUGGUAUCUUCCUGACUGCUGGCAAUAUUCUCUAUUUCAUCAAGGUCCUCUAGCAGCAAACAUGGAGGUAUUACAGAGCUUGGGACAGGAUUACACUGAGGGCGAAGCUCUGGGUUACAGCCUCCCAGGAGUUGUGUCCAAUGCUACAGCACUGUGGCCUUUGACAGGAGGGCAAUGAAGUGACAGGGACUCUCAAACUCCGCUUUCUCUGUUGGUGAUCACUUGACAAGAAAAUACCCUGAGAAACCUGAUUAAUUGAACGAGUUUGAGCAGACUGUGGGACUAAGUGAACUCCAGAGGUCCUUACCAGUGUGAAUUAUUCCAUGCUCCAAUGAUUUCAUCUCCUUUUUAUUCUUCACAUUUCCUUAGUUUAAUAAAAAGUCACCUCAGGUUGAAUGUGACUAUGUGCUCUUUGUAUAGAGGCAACCAGGCAAGCAUCCCCAGGAGCUAGAAGCCAACACCCCGGGUCCAAACCCCCAGAGGAGCAGGUUUACUGAGUUAAAAGCAUCUCUUCCACUGGGGACACUCAGUUCGUACUUGUAUAUGUCCUGUUGCAUUUCUCUGGCACUGAUCAAUUGUUUCUUUCCAUAGCUGCCUCCUUGAAGCUCCUUACUGAACAGGUUUCUGAUUGCUAACAUUUAAUUGUCCAAUGCAGGCAUUGUUUUACGUUUCCAUGAAAGCUUAGGGAUGUAUGGUGACUUCCAAAGGGAUCCGAAGCUACCCGCCCAGAGCUGUCAGUGUCAACUGAUGUUAAUAAAACACUGUGUAAUAUUUCAAGCACAGCUUCAUGCUCAUUUACUGCUAUUUAGAAAACCCAACAGCGUGAGGUGAGAGUUAAAUAAAAGCACAUGUUCCAAAGUCACAGAAAUGACUAUCAGAGAUUGACUUCUGGUUGCUCAUUCAGCUGGCUGCUGUCAACGUGAAGAACGAAGCAAUUCCAUUUUUUAAUGCCAUGUAAAUUAUACCGCUGUGUUGUGAUACAUCAAUUAAGUUCUUUGAAUAAAUUAAUCAGAAAAUUCUGUAAGGAUGCUUCUCUGCUUUCUGAAGGGAAAAAACAAUAAACCCAAACACAGACCCGGG